rnacentral:misc_RNA from 1 species
UUUUUUUUUUUUUUUCCUUCGAAAAUUUUCAGUUGUAAGAAGCUUUUAUGAAUUGUCAAUCCAAGUUAAAAUCGAGAAUUUGGCCUGUAACUUUCUGGUUUCUCAAUGAAAGCUUGCCUUGCACUGAUAAAAUUAAGAAAAUCUUUCUUUUCUAUUGCUUUUUGACCUAUUGGAGAACAGAAGUCCACGCCCCUAUGAAUCUG